CUCAGGGUCCCUGCUGUAGACGGGGCGGGGGCAGAGUACGAUGGGUGGGGCGUGGUGGGUCGUAGGGCGCUCGAGAUGGAGCCCCCAGCUUUCUUGAUGGAUCGCGGGGCGCGAGUGCCCUAGACAAGGCGGAGCUGGGACCGGCAAUCGGGCGUUGAUCCUUGUCACCUGUCGCAGACCCUCAUCCCUCCCGUGGGAGCCCCCUUUGGACACUCUAUGACCCUGGACCCUCGGGGGACCUGAACUUGAUGCGAUGGGAGGCUGUGCAGGCUCGCGGCGGCGCUUUUCGGAUUCCGAGGGCUGCUGGGCCUUUGCAACAACUUCUCUUAUGUGGUGAUGCUGAGUGCUGCCCACGACAUCCUUAGCCACAAGAGGACAUCGGGAAACCAGAGCCAUGUGGACCCAGGCCCAACGCCGAUGCCCCACAACAGCUCAUCACGAUUUGACUGCAACUCUGUCUCUACGGCUCCCCCGGGUUCUCGUCAGUGGGAUUUGUGCUGCUGGAAGCUUCGUCCUGGUUGCCUUUUCUCAUUCUGUGGGGACCAGCCUGUGUGCUAUUUCUUGUUGCUCACAUCUCCUGAGGCCCAGGACCCUGGAGGGGAAGAAGAGGCAGAGAGCGCAGCCCGGCAGCCCCUCAUAAGAACCGAGGCCCCGGAGUCGAAGCCAGGCUCCAGCUCCAGCCUCUCCCUUCGGGAAAGGUGGACAGUGUUCAAGGUUCGGAUGAUGGCUGGGGUAUGUCCCUGUGGGGCUUGCUCACCUCCAGGCCCCCCGCUUAUAUCUUCUGCCUUUUCCAGGGUCUGCUGUGGUACAUUGUUCCCUUGGUCGUAGUUUACUUUGCCGAGUAUUUCAUUAACCAGGGACUUGUAAGUGAGGGGUGCUAGGAGGGGUGUGGAGGUGGCGAUUGGGGCUGGGACCCACACGGCCCCGUCCAUCUCCCCUGUCUGGUAUUUGUUGCAGUUUGAACUCCUCUUUUUCCGGAACACUUCCCUGAGUCACGCUCAGCAAUACCGCU
rnacentral:sRNA from 1 species